CUGAUGCAGCGACGCCGCGUGAGGGAAGACGGCCUUCGGGUUGUAAACCUCUUUCAGUAGGGAAGAAGCGUAAGUGACGGUACCUGCAGAAGAAGCGCCGGCUAACUACGUGCCAGCAGCCGCGGUAAUACGUAGGGCGCAAGCGUUAUCCGGAAUUAUUGGGCGUAAAGAGCUCGUAGGCGGUUUGUCGCGUCUGCUGUGAAAGACCGGGGCUCAACUCCGGUUCUGCAGUGGGUACGGGCAGACUAGAGUGCAGUAGGGGAGACUGGAAUUCCUGGUGUAGCGGUGAAAUGCGCAGAUAUCAGGAGGAACACCGAUGGCGAAGGCAGGUCUCUGGGCUGUAACUGACGCUGAGGAGCGAAAGCAUGGGGAGCGAACAGGAUUAGAUACCCUGGUAGUCCAUGCCGUAAACGUUGGGCACUAGGUGUGGGGGACAUUCCACGUUUUCCGCGCCGUAGCUAACGCAUUAAGUGCCCCGCCUGGGGAGUACGGCCGCAAGGCUAAAACUCAAAGGAAUUGACGGGGGCCCGCACAAGCGGCGGAGCAUGCGGAUUAAUUCGAUGCAACGCGAAGAACCUUACCAAGGCUUGACAUGGACUGGAAAGAUCUGGAGACAGGUCCCCCGCUUGCGGUCGGUUCACAGGUGGUGCAUGGUUGUCGUCAGCUCGUGUCGUGAGAUGUUGGGUUAAGUCCCGCAACGAGCGCAACCCUCGUUCUAUGUUGCCAGCGCGUUAUGGCGGGGACUCAUAGGAGACUGCCGGGGUCAACUCGGAGGAAGGUGGGGACGACGUCAAAUCAUCAUGCCCCU
rnacentral:rRNA from 1 species